UGCAGGUACCCGUGCGAAUAAGGACCGGCUAAUUCCGUGCCAGCAGCCGCGGUAAUACGGAAGGUUCGAGCGUUAUCCGGAUUUACUGGGUGUAAAGGGAGCGUAGACGGUAAUGCAAGUCAGAAGUGAAAGCCCAGGGCUCAACCGUGGGACUGCUUUUGAAACUGCAGUACUGGAGUGCAGGAGAGGUAAGUGGAAUUCCUAGUGUAGCGGUGAAAUGCGUAGAUAUUAGGAGGAACACCAGUGGCGAAGGCGGCUUACUGGACUGUAACUGACGUUGAGGCUCGAAAGCGUGGGGAGCAAACAGGAUUAGAUACCCUG
rnacentral:rRNA from 1 species